rnacentral:misc_RNA from 1 species
CUCCUUCACCUUGAGCUCAGCAAAAGCCUCUGGGUCUUCAGCAAGGCCCAAUGGGUCAAAGCUACCACCAGGGUAAAGUGGAUCAACAACCUCACCAAGAGGCCCACCAGCAAUACGGUAACCCUCAACGGCUCCCAUCAACACAACUUGGCAAGCCCAAAUAGCCAAAAUGCUUUGUGCAUGAACCAAACUAGGGUUUCCCAAGUAGUCAAGUCCGCCCUCGCUGAAAAUUUGAGAUCCAGCUUUGAACCAUACAGCUUCACCAAACUUAACACCGUUACGUGCCAAAAGCUCGGGGAAAACACAUCCAAGAGCACCAAGCAUGGCCCAUCUGCAAUGAAUAACCUCCAACUCACGAUUCUUAGCGAAUGUUUCAGGGUCAGCUGAAAGCCCAGCAGUGUCCCAUCCGUAAUCACCAGGGAACUCACCAUUCUCCGGGGAAGCCCCAAGCUAUUUGACUGGUGAGUUCCCUGGUGA